UACGUAGGGGGCUAGCGUUGUCCGGAAUCAUUGGGCGUAAAGCGCGUGUAGGCGGUCCGGUAAGUCCGCUGUGAAAGUCGGGGGCUCAACCCUCGAAUGCCGGUGGAUACUGUCGGGCUAGAGUGCGGAAGAGGCGAGUGGAAUUCCUGGUGUAGCGGUGAAAUGCGCAGAUAUCAGGAGGAACACCAAUUGCGAAGGCAGCUCGCUGGGACGUAACUGACGCUGAGACGCGAAAGCCAGGGGAGCAAACGGG
rnacentral:rRNA from 1 species